GCUGACUGUAAUUUAUAAAGGACGACCGUCAAUUCUAAGAAAUAUCCGUACUUGUAUUCAAAGCUUUUUGUUGAGUUUGUCGAUCUCAAUAGGGAUCGGUUAGCGGAUAUAAAUAUGUUUCAUAAAUUUCUUUUUUUUUGGCCGUAUUUUGGGUUCAUGACAAUGAUAGUAAACUGCAUAUUUCUCGUAAACAAUGAAAUAUUUAUUGAUAACGACGUUAAAAUUUAAUACAAAUUGACAGCGAUACGACGAAAAUUUGAAGAAACAUGAAUGUGUCCCUAGUACACGGAUGCCUUAUCUACACUAUCAUUUUCUAUGUUUAGUGGACCGUGAAAAUGGGAUAAAACUGUAAUGUGGCAUUAGAAUUAAAAAGUC
rnacentral:lncRNA from 1 species